CCCGUAGGGCGCAAGCGUUGUCCGGAAUUAUUGGGCGUAAAGAGCUCGUAGGCAGUCUGUUGCGUCUGCUGUGAAAACUCGGGGCUUAACCCCGAGCCUGCAGUGGAUACGGGCAGACUAGAGGUAGGUAGGGGAGAAUGGAAUUCCCGGUGUAGCGGUGAAAUGCGCAGAUAUCGGGAGGAACACCGGUGGCGAAGGCGGUUCUCUGGGCCUUACCUGACGCUGAGGAGCGAAAGCGUGGGGAGCGAACAGG
rnacentral:rRNA from 1 species